AGAAGGGGAAAGGAGAGAGAAGGCGAGAGAGAGAGGAGGUUUGGGGGUAUACUAUCCAACUAUCAGCAUGCCACUAAGACAAUAGAUUGCCUUAGCCAUAUUCGUUCCCCAAAUAAGCUACCUUCCUUUUUCCGCGCGUUCCCACACCUCGGCUUCCUCUGUUCCCCCCCAAUACCCUCCCCAAAAUCCUCUUGCUUUGCAGCUUCAAGACCGGGAAUUGUGAGGAAGGGGGUGCAAUGGCCAAAAAUAAGUGAAUUCCUUACGGAUUGCCCUAAACAGACGAUUUUAUUUGCCUCCUACCGAACCAACAAAUGUUUUCGGAGAUGCUUCACAAACACACGGAGGCAGAACAACCAACGGCACAACACACAAAACAAGGAGAGCAGCCGAGACUAUCCUAACGUCACCACAGCAGCCUUGCAGAUUUGGCAAAGGAAGGAAGGGAGCAGAAUCUGGAGGCGAACCUUGAAAGAAUGAAAGAAAGAAAGA